UGGUAAGGUUAUGCUGUUUACGACAAAAAAGAGGUCCUGCUGUCACAAAAGUGCUAUUAAGUGUCGGGUGGAAAACUCAUCAAGAUGCUGGCACCGUGAGUGAUAUGGCAUCAAAAGUAAAGGCACUCUAAUUAAGUGCACUCCUCUGCCAUUUUGGCAGAUGUGGCCUCUUCACCUUCCUCUCACUUGGCCCCAAUCCACUGAACCCCCUGUGGCUACCACCAACUUCUCAGGCUCUGCAAUGCUCUAGUGUAGGGAUGCCAUUUGUGUGUCCACUACAUUGCUCUCCCAUAGGAGCCACUGCCUCUCCCUAUUUUCAAUUUCCAGAGGAUUACCAACAACAAUGCAUUUUCUCAACAGUUGUGCAAAGUUCCUCCACUCCCCUCCUACACCAGCUCUUCCCCUGGUUGGCCAAACUAAGCCCUGAACCCCCCAAAAUGUAACUUGUGGACUUUUCAAGCAGGAUUCCUUGAGUUGAAUGAUUGCUCAUUAAAAUGUUUAA